GCUUGUCUCAAAGAUUAAGCCAUGCAUGUCUCAGCAUAAGCUUCAACACGGUGAAACUGCAAAUGGCUCAUUAAAGCAGUUACAAUUUAUUUGAUGGUCACUGUUACAUGGAUAACUGUGGUAAUUCUAGAGCUAAUACAUGCACAAAUUCCCGUCAGGGAUGUAUUUAUUAGAUUGAAACCAAUGCGGGGUAACCCGGUGUUUGGUGAUUCAUAAUAACUUUCGGAUCGCAUUUGCGAUGCAUCAUUCAAGUUUCUGCCCUAUCAGCUUUGGAUGGUAGGGUAUUGGCCUACCAUGGCAUUAACGGGUAACGGAGGAUUUGGGUUCGAUUCCGGAGAGGGAGCCUGAGAAAUGGCUACCACAUCCAAGGAAGGCAGCAGG
rnacentral:rRNA from 1 species